rnacentral:sRNA from 1 species
AUUUCUUUGAAAUUCUACAAGGAACUUCAGGCACAUGGUGCUGAUGAGUUAUUAAAGAGGGUGUACGGGAGUUUCUUGGUAAAUCCAGAAUCAGUCUUCUAAUAGGUUGUCUCAACAUUCAUGGCCAGAGGAAUUGAAAGGCACCGUGUCAUCCUUGAAUAGAACAGCUAUGUUAUACUUCUUUAAAGGAGGUUUAAAGUGGAAAAACUGAACAGCCUUUUUACCCUGUGAUUCAGUGGCAUGUCUCAAAUUCUGAGGCAUUUAGCAGGACCCCAAAGUGAGAACCAGUACCCAAAAUGGAAUGAUGAUUGAUAUUAUUUAAUACUGGAGUGCCAAAAAUGUGCUAAGCAUUAUCUAGAGCAAAGAUUUAGCCCAUCCUCCCGAAGAGCCCAUGCUCAACAAAAAAUACAGACCUCAGCCGGGCGCAGUGGCUCAACGCCUGUAAUCCCAGCACUAUCGGAGGCCAGGGUGGGCGGGUCACCUGCAUUCAGGAGUUCAAGACCAGCCUGACCAACAUGGAGAAACCCCAUCUCUACUAAAAGUACAAAAUUAGCCAGGCGUGGUGGCGCAUACCUGUAAUCCCAGCUGCUCAGGAGGCUGAGGCAGGAGAAUCGCUUGAACCUGGGAGGCGGAUGUUGUGGAUACAAUGUCUCUUUGCUAUAUGACCUUGAAAAUCUUCCGGCAUCCAAGGAUUCCAUUGUGCAUCA